rnacentral:rRNA from 1 species
CCUACGGGAGGCAGCAGUGGGGAAUCUUGCACAAUGGAGGAAACUCUGAUGCAGCGAUGCCGCGUGAGUGAAGAAGGCCUUUGGGUUGUAAAGCUCUUUUGUAGGGGAAGAUAAUGACUGUACCCUAAGAAUAAGGUCCGGCUAACUUCGUGCCAGCAGCCGCGGUAAUACGAAGGGACCUAGCGUAGUUCGGAAUUACUGGGCGUAAAGCGCGCGUAGGCCGUUGAGUUAGUUAAUUGUGAAAUCCCAAAGCUUAACUUUGGAACUACAAUUAAAACUGCUCGACUAGAGUUUGAUAGAGGAAAGCGGAAUACAUAGUGUAGAGGUGAAAUUCGUAGAUAUUAUGUAGAACACCAGUUGCGAAGGCGGCUUUCUGGAUCAACACUGACGCUGAGGCGCGAAAGUAUGGGUAGCAAAGAGGAUUAGAUACCCUCGUAGUCCAUACCAUAAACGAUGAUUGCUAGAUGUUGGAAAUUUAUUUUCAGUAUCGCAGCUAACGCAUUAAGCAAUCCGCCUGGGGAGUCGACCGCAAGGUUAAAACUCAAAGAUAGUACGGCGNGAGAGAGCGACGACGACGACGACGGAGGAGGAG